rnacentral:rRNA from 1 species
GCGAACGGGUGAGUAACACGUGGAUUAUCUACCUUCUGAUGGGGGAUAACCCGGGGAAACCUGGGCUAAUACCGCAUAAUAUCCGCAAGGAUCAAAGGAGCAAUUCGUCGGAAGAUGAGUCCGCGGCUGAUUAGCUAGUUGGCGGGGUAAUGGCCCACCAAGGCUUUGAUCAGUAGCCGGUCUGAGAGGACGCACGGCCACACUGGAACUGAAACACGGUCCAGACUCCUACGGGAGGCAGCAGUGGGGAAUCUUGCACAAUGGGGGAAAACCCUGAUGCAGCGACGCCGCGUGAGUGAUGAAGCUCUUCGGAGUGUAAAGCUCUUUCGGCAGGGAAGAGAUAAGACGGUACCUGCAAAAGAAGCCCCGGCUAACUACGUGCCAGCAGCCGCGGUAAUACGUAGGGGGCCAGCGUUGUUCGGAAUUACUGGGCGUAAAGAGCGCGUAGGCGGCGCCAGUGUGUUUGGUGUGAAAUCUCCCGGCUUAACCGGGAGGGGCCAUCGAAAACUGCUGUGCUUCGGGUUUGGGAGAGGGGAGUGGGAAAUUCCCGGUGUAGCGGUGAAAUG